rnacentral:rRNA from 1 species
GAUGAACGCUGGCGGCGUGCCUAAUACAUGCAAGUCGAGCGAACAGACGAGGAGCUUGCUCCUCUGACGUUAGCGGCGGACGGGUGAGUAACACGUGGAUAACCUACCUAUAAGACUGGGAUAACUUCGGGAAACCGGAGCUAAUACCGGAUAAUAUAUUGAACCGCAUGGUUCAAUAGUGAAAGACGGUUUUGCUGUCACUUAUAGAUGGAUCCGCGCCGCAUUAGCUAGUUGGUAAGGUAACGGCUUACCAAGGCGACGAUGCGUAGCCGACCUGAGAGGGUGAUAGCCCACACUGGAACUGAGACACGGUCCAGACUCCUACGGGAGGCAGCAGUAGGGAAUCUUCCGCAAUGGGCGAAAGCCUGACGGAGCAACGCCGCGUGAGUGAUGAAGGUCUUCGGAUCGUAAAACUCUGUUAUUAGGGAAGAACAAAUGUGUAAGUAACUAUGCACGUCUUGACGGUACCUAAUCAGAAAGCCACGGCUAACUACGUG